rnacentral:rRNA from 1 species
AUGACACAUAUUUCAGCGUCACCCGUGGAUAUUUCCGCCAUUACGAAGCCAAUUCUGGAUGCCAUCGAUUUGGUGUUGAAGAAUGCUUUUGAAGCCUUAGAAACCCCUACAUUAACUUAUUCUCAACAUCUUGACAUUUUCCAGGCAGUUCGAUCUGUGCUUCCGGUUGGUGGUACUGCUCCUCAGAUUGCCGCUAUCCGCACAGGUUGGGAAAAUUUUGUUUCGAUCUCAGAUGUAGUGCAGGAAGCCCGCAAAACAGUUGAGGAUCAGUCAAAGCAAAAGUCUGAAUUUGUUACUACAGCAGAGAGCAAGGCUGAAUCAAUUGAAGCGUGUUUGAAAACCUCAACAGCAGAGAUGUCAUCUGUGCUGGAGGAACAUGCUGAGAAGAAGGAGCGUGUGGAGGCCCUCUCCGCUCAACUGCAAGAAGCUAAUGCCGAGUUGCUUACAUCUGGAGAGAGGGUCAGGCAACUGGAGUCGGACCGUUCCGCCAAGCAGGCUGAAGCCAAGAAGCUGCAUGAAGAUUUGCUCGAGGAUAAUGUGAAAGCUUCAGAGGAACCGGAGGCUCUUAAAGGGAAGAUAUCAACGCUGGAGAAUGAAGCCGAGUCUAUUAUCGGAAGUCUGAAGGACUGGCGCUCCAAGUCCAACUGA